rnacentral:lncRNA from 1 species
CCCACCCGCGGCUGCCCCUCCCGCCCCCCGCCUUGGGCCUUGAUUCCAAGAUUUCGGCCCAGCCGGCAUUCCUGAACAGAGGAGCUUUCGGAACCGGGAACUUAACCCCGCAGCCCGGAGGACCAGCCCAGGCAGCAGACAAAAGAGACGGCGGUGGCCGAAAGGUAAGUCGUGAGUCCCUACCUCAGCCUGGAAGUAAACCUGGAAGACAGGGGAGCAGCGAUGACGAGUCAGAGAUGAUCAACUGGUUUCUGAAUGGGGAUCACAGAGGAAACGUCAGUUAACUCACCUUCAGAGUCUCCCUGCAAAGACUUUGGAGGGAGCUAAGCCUAGCAGGACACUUGCCACCGGAACAUUCCAAGUCAAAACUAUACCUGCAAACUCCAUCCCAUCGCUAAGUUCAACCUGGCAAAUAAUAAUAAUUUAUAACACUG